GAUGAACGCUAGCGGGAGGCCUAACACAUGCAAGCCGAGCGGUAUUGUUUCUUCGGAAAUGAGAGAGCGGCGUACGGGUGCGUAACACGUGUGCAACCUGCCUUUAUCUGGGGGAUAGCCUUUCGAAAGGAAGAUUAAUACUCCAUAAUAUAUUGAACGGCAUCGUUUAAUAUUGAAAGCUCCGGCGGAUAGAGAUGGGCACGCGCAAGAUUAGCUAGUUGGUGAGGUAACGGCUCACCAAGGCGAUGAUCUUUAGGGGGCCUGAGAGGGUGAUCCCCCACACUGGUACUGAGACACGGACCAGACUCCUACGGGAGGCAGCAGUGAGGAAUAUUGGUCAAUGGGUGCAAGCCUGAACCAGCCAUCCCGUGUGAAGGACGGCUGCCCUAUGGGUUGUAAACUUCUUUUGUAUAGGGAUAAACCUACCCUCGAGAGGGUAGCUGAAGGUACUAUACGAAUAAGCACCGGCUAACUCCGUG
rnacentral:rRNA from 1 species